rnacentral:rRNA from 1 species
UUUAUGGAGAGUUUGAUCCUGGCUCAGGAUGAACGCUGGCGGCGUGCCUAAUACAUGCAAGUCGAGCGAACGGACGAGAAGCUUGCUUCUCUGAUGUUAGCGGCGGACGGGUGAGUAACACGUGGAUAACCUACCUAUAAGACUGGGAUAACUUCGGGAAACCGGAGCUAAUACCGGAUAAUAUUUUGAACCGCAUGGUUCAAAAGUGAAAGACGGUCUUGCUGUCACUUAUAGAUGGAUCCGCGCUGCAUUAGCUAGUUGGUAAGGUAACGGCUUACCAAGGCAACGAUGCAUAGCCGACCUGAGAGGGUGAUCGGCCACACUGGAACUGAGACACGGUCCAGACUCCUACGGGAGGCAGCAGUAGGGAAUCUUCCGCAAUGGGCGAAAGCCUGACGGAGCAACGCCGCGUGAGUGAUGAAGGUCUUCGGAUCGUAAAACUCUGUUAUUAGGGAAGAACAUAUGUGUAAGUAACUGUGCACAUCUUGACGGUACCUAAUCAGAAAGCCACGGCUAACUACGUGCCAGCAGCCGCGGUAAUACGUAGGUGGCAAGCGUUAUCCGGAAUUAUUGGGCGUAAAGCGCGCGUAGGCGGUUUUUUAAGUCUGAUGUGAAAGCCCACGGCUCAACCGUGGAGGGUCAUUGGAAACUGGAAAACUUGAGUGCAGAAGAGGAAAGUGGAAUUCCAUGUGUAGCGGUGAAAUGCGCAGAGAUAUGGAGGAACACCAGUGGCGAAGGCGACUUUCUGGUCUGUAACUGACGCUGAUGUGCGAAAGCGUGGGGAUCAAACAGGAUUAGAUACCCUGGUAGUCCACGCCGUAAACGAUGAGUGCUAAGUGUUAGGGGGUUUCCGCCCCUUAGUGCUGCAGCUAACGCAUUAAGCACUCCGCCUGGGGAGUACGACCGCAAGGUUGAAACUCAAAGGAAUUGACGGGGACCCGCACAAGCGGUGGAGCAUGUGGUUUAAUUCGAAGCAACGCGAAGAACCUUACCAAAUCUUGACAUCCUUUGACAACUCUAGAGAUAGAGCCUUCCCCUUCGGGGGACAAAGUGACAGGUGGUGCAUGGUUGUCGUCAGCUCGUGUCGUGAGAUGUUGGGUUAAGUCCCGCAACGAGCGCAACCCUUAAGCUUAGUUGCCAUCAUUAAGUUGGGCACUCUAAGUUGACUGCCGGUGACAAACCGGAGGAAGGUGGGGAUGACGUCAAAUCAUCAUGCCCCUUAUGAUUUGGGCUACACACGUGCUACAAUGGACAAUACAAAGGGCAGCGAAACCGCGAGGUCAAGCAAAUCCCAUAAAGUUGUUCCCAGUUCGGAUUGUAGUCUGCAACUCGACUACAUGAAGCUGGAAUCGCUAGUAAUCGUAGAUCAGCAUGCUACGGUGAAUACGUUCCCGGGUCUUGUACACACCGCCCGUCACACCACGAGAGUUUGUAACACCCGAAGCCGGUGGAGUAACCUUUUAGGAGCUAGCCGUCGAAGGUGGGACAAAUGAUUGGGGUGAAGUCGUAACAAGGUAGCCGUAUCGGAAGGUGCGGCUGGAUCACCUCCUUUCU